CUACUAACGGCGAGCUUCCGCCAAUACUUGUUCUUGUUCUUGGUUCGGAGCGUCCCGGGAGCCGGGAAGGGAAGGAUUGUCUGCAGGGAUUGGAGCAAAUACCCAGUGGGGGGAAAGGCGGGACUUCCGCGUCCUGCCGGAAGUGACGUGACAAUCGCGGCCACCGCCAGGUGGAACGGCAGUUCCCCAUUCCCCUACCGAGCUGGGCAGUUAGCCAGCCCACUCCAACUCUCGGAACCAUGUUUGCAGACUUGGAUUAUGACAUCGAAGAGGAUAAACUCGGAAUCCCGACUGUGCCUGGGAAGGUGACCCUGCAGAAGGAUGCUCAGAACCUGAUCGGGAUCAGCAUUGGAGGAGGGGCCCAGUACUGUCCCUGCCUCUAUAUCGUCCAGGUAUUUGACAACACUCCAGCGGCCUUGGACGGCACAGUGGCAGCUGGCGAUGAGAUCACCGGUGUCAAUGGCAGGUCAAUCAAAGGGAAAACUAAGGUGGAGGUGGCGAAGAUGAUUCAGGAGGUGAAGGGGGAGGUGACCAUCCACUACAACAAGCUGCAGGCGGACCCCAAGCAGGGCAUGUCCCUGGACAUUGUGUUGAAGAAAGUCAAGCACCGGCUGGUGGAGAACAUGAGUUCAGGGACUGCAGAUGCUCUGGGCCUGAGCCGGGCCAUCCUGUGCAAUGAUGGGCUUGUCAAGAGGCUAGAGGAGCUGGAGCGGACCGCCGAACUGUACAAAGGGAUGACGGAACACACCAAGAACCUCCUACGGGCCUUUUAUGAGCUGUCGCAGACUCACCGGGCCUUUGGGGACGUGUUCUCCGUGAUCGGGGUGCGGGAGCCCCAGCCAGCUGCGAGCGAGGCUUUUGUGAAGUUCGCGGAUGCCCACCGCAGCAUCGAGAAGUUCGGCAUUCGGCUUCUGAAAACCAUCAAGCCGAUGCUGACGGAUCUGAACACUUACCUCAACAAAGCCAUCCCGGACACUCGCCUCACCAUCAAGAAGUACCUGGACGUGAAGUUUGAGUACCUGUCGUACUGCCUGAAGGUGAAGGAGAUGGAUGACGAGGAAUACAGCUGCAUUGUGAGUGUUGGAGGGGGUGGGGGGCUUGUACCUCCCCCACCUGGUCUGCCAGGGAUAGCAGGUGGCUCAGGCCAACCCGGGAGAGAACUGGGGGACUUGGCUGGACUCUCGUUCCUGGAGAUUUGGGGCCAUCUGCCCAGUCCCGCUGGGCCUCGGGGUGCUGGGCACCCGGCCGGGAACCACUCCCUCAGUCUGGGGAACUCUUGGAGGGAAAAUCGGAUUUUCUUCACUCCUAUGAGGCACUUUUAAGUUUUUGAUUUUUCUGCUGUCGGGAUCCAUCUAGUGGCUAAUGUUCAUUGAAUGUGGCAGAGGUUUGGGUUUGGUUUUUUCCUUCUUAAAGCUAUCACUGAGUGCUUCUGAGAAACACUGAAGUCUCAGAAAUGAGGUCUCAGGAAUGAGGAACCACCGUGGCUUUGAAAGCGCAGUGCGGUGCGAGGCUGUCCCUGAGCAGGCCUUCCUGUCCCACCCCCGCCCCAGGCCCUAGGCGAGCCCCUUUACCGGGUGAGCACCGGUAACUAUGAGUACCGCCUGAUCCUGCGCUGCCGCCAGGAGGCGCGCGCCCGCUUCUCCCAGAUGCGCAAGGAUGUGCUGGAGAAGAUGGAGCUGCUGGACCAGAAGCACGUCCAGGACAUCGUGUUCCAGCUGCAGCGCCUCGUGUCCACCAUGUCCAAGUACUACAACGACUGCUACGCAGUGCUGCGGGAUGCCGACGUCUUCCCCAUCGAGGUAGACCUGGCGCACACCACACUGGCCUAUGGCCUCAACCAGGAGGAGUUCACAGAUGGGGAGGAGGAGGAGGAGGAGGAAGACACGGCAGCUGGGGAGCCGGCCAGGGAUACACGAGGGGCUGCUGGGCCCUUGGACAAGGGUGGAAGCUGGUGUGACUCCUGAGUGCCCCGCGGGUGUGGUGCCGGGGGCAGGGUUCGUGGGAGGACGGAGCCUGGGAGCGGGGCGAGGCCGCCGCGCAAGGGGGCGGUGCAUAAAGGCCUGCUGGCUUGGGGCGCCUGCCUCCCUGCUCCUCUGUCCUUGCACAGCGAACCUGGGCUGCUGCCCAGGACAGGCACCAGGGUCAUGGCCUGGGACCUGGACACUGGCCCCUCCACCCUCUCUCCCCUCCCGGCUCCCCGGCCAGAGGGAGAGCUUGGUCUCUGGACCUGCCUUAGGAAGGAGACGGAGGGCAGAAAGGAGAAGAAAGGACUUGGAGGUGGCAGGAGUCCGGGCCCUGCUCCUUGUGGGCACUCACACUGCCCCCGGAGCCUGCCGGGAGUGGGGCCGGCGGUGGACAGCUGAGGUUGGGGCCAAUGUCUCCUGGGCACCCUUGCCUCGCCCCAGACCGGCCCGUCCGGUCCCCAUCACACCUCGGCGGCCUUUAUUUAUUCUGUUCCCCCAGGUUGGCCACUUCUCUGAAGGAAGGCUGGGUUCUGGGCCUGUAUCGAAUAAACACAAACCUGG
rnacentral:sRNA from 1 species